AAUCAACGCUGGCGGCGUGCCUAACACAUGCAAGUCGAGCGAGAAAGGGUAGCAAUACCCUGAGUAAAGCGGCGCACGGGUGAGUAACACGUGGGUAAUCUGCCCUAGAGUGGGGAAUAACACCGGGAAACCGGUGCUAAUACCGCAUACGAUCACGAUGUCUUCGGAUGUUGUGAUGAAAGGAGCAAUUCGCUCUUGGAGGAGCCCGCGGCUGAUAGCUAGUUGGUAAGGUAAUGGCUUACCAAGGCUACGAUCAGUAUCCGGUCUGAGAGGACGGUCGGACACACUGGAACUGAGACACGGUCCAGACUCCUACGGGAGGCAGCAGUGGGGAAUUUUUCGCAAUGGGCGAAAGCCUGACGCAGCGACGCCGCGUGAGGGAUGAC
rnacentral:rRNA from 1 species